UACGAAGGGGGCUAGCGUUGUUCGGAAUUACUGGGCGUAAAGCGCGCGCAGGCGGCUAUCCAAGUCAGUGGUGAAAGCCCGGAGCUCAACUCCGGAACUGCCAUUGAAACUGUUUAGCUUGAGGACGAGAGAGGUGAGUGGAAUUCCCAGUGUAGAGGUGAAAUUAGUAGAUAUUGGGAAGAACACCGGUGGCGAAGGCGGCUCACUGGCUCGUAUCUGACGCUCAGGCGCGACAGCGUGGGGAUCAAACAGG
rnacentral:rRNA from 1 species